rnacentral:rRNA from 1 species
UACGUAGGGGGCAAGCGUUGUCCGGAAUCAUUGGGCGUAAAGCGCGUGUAGGCGGUCCGGUAAGUCGGCUGUGAAAGUCCAGGGCUCAACCCUGGGAUGCCGGUCGAUACUGCCGGACUAGAGUUCGGAAGAGGCGAGUGGAAUUCCCGGUGUAGCGGUGAAAUGCGCAGAUAUCGGGAGGAACACCAAUGGCGAAGGCAGCUCGCUGGGACGUUACUGACGCUGAGACGCGAAAGCGUGGGAGCAACAGG